rnacentral:rRNA from 1 species
GACGAACGCUGGCGGCGUGCUUAACACAUGCAAGUCGAACGGAAAGGCCCUGCUUUUGUGGGGUGCUCGAGUGGCGAACGGGUGAGUAACACGUGAGUAACCUGCCCUUGACUUUGGGAUAACUUCAGGAAACUGGGGCUAAUACCGGAUAGGAGCUCCUGCUGCAUGGUGGGGGUUGGAAAGUUUCGGCGGUUGGGGAUGGACUCGCGGCUUAUCAGCUUGUUGGUGGGGUAGUGGCUUACCAAGGCUUUGACGGGUAGCCGGCCUGAGAGGGUGACCGGCCACAUUGGGACUGAGAUACGGCCCAGACUCCUACGGGAGGCAGCAGUGGGGAAUAUUGCACAAUGGGCGGAAGCCUGAUGCAGCAACGCCGCGUGCGGGAUGACGGCCUUCGGGUUGUAAACCGCUUUCGCCUGUGACGAAGCGUGAGUGACGGUAAUGGGUAAAGAAGCACCGGCUAACUACGUGCCAGCAGCCGCGGUGAUACGUAGGGUGCGAGCGUUGUCCGGAUUUAUUGGGCGUAAAGGGCUCGUAGGUGGUUGAUCGCGUCGGAAGUGUAAUCUUGGGGCUUAACCCUGAGCGUGCUUUCGAUACGGGUUGACUUGAGGAAGGUAGGGGAGAAUGGAAUUCCUAGUGGAGCGGUGGAAUGCGCAGAUAUCAGGAGGAACACCAGUGGCGAAGGCGGUUCUCUGGGCCUUUCCUGACGCUGAGGAGCGAAAGCGUGGGGAGCGAACAGGCUUAGAUACCCUGGUAGUCCACGCUGUAAACGGUGGGUACUAGGUGUGGGGUCCAUUCCACGGGUUCCGUGCCGUAGCUAACGCUUUAAGUACCCCGCCUGGGGAGUACGGCCGCGAGGCUAAAACUCAAAGGAAUUGACGGGGCCCCGCACAAGCGGCGGAGCAUGCGGAUUAAUUCGAUGCAACGCGUAGAACCUUACCUGGGUUUGACAUGGAUCGGGAGUGCUCAGAGAUGGGUGUGCCUCUUUUGGGGUCGGUUCACAGGUGGUGCAUGGCUGUCGUCAGCUCGUGUCGUGAGAUGUUGGGUUAAGUCCCGCAACGAGCGCAACCCUUGUUCACUGUUGCCAGCACGUUAUGGUGGGGACUCAGUGGAGACCGCCGGGGUCAACUCGGAGGAAGGUGGGGAUGACGUCAAGUCAUCAUGCCCCUUAUGUCCAGGGCUUCACGCAUGCUACAAUGGCUGGUACAGAGAGUGGCGAGCCUGUGAGGGUGAGCGAAUCUCGGAAAGCCGGUCUCAGUUCGGAUUGGGGUCUGCAACUCGACCUCAUGAAGUCGGAGUCGCUAGUAAUCGCAGAUCAGCAACGCUGCGGUGAAUACGUUCCCGGG